GAUGAACGCUAGCUACAGGCUUAACACAUGCAAGUCGAGGGGAAACGACAUCGAAAGCUUGCUUUUGAUGGGCGUCGACCGGCGCACGGGUGAGUAACGCGUAUCCAACCUGCCCAUCACUUGGGAAUAACCCUGCGAAAGUAAGACUAAUACCCAAUGACAUCCCACGAAGACAUCUGAAUGGGAUUAAAGAUUUAUCGGUGAUGGAUGGGGAUGCGUCUGAUUAGCUUGUUGGCGGGGUAACGGCCCACCAAGGCAACGAUCAGUAGGGGUUCUGAGAGGAAGGUCCCCCACAUUGGAACUGAGACACGGUCCAAACUCCUACGGGAGGCAGCAGUGAGGAAUAUUGGUCAAUGGGCGAGAGCCUGAACCAGCCAAGUAGCGUGCAGGAUGACGGCCCUAUGGGUUGUAAACUGCUUUUAUAAGGGAAUAAAGUGGGUCUCGUGAGACUUUUUGCAUGUACCUUAUGAAUAAGGACCGGCUAAUUCCGUG
rnacentral:rRNA from 1 species